ACCCCAUGAUAUAAGCCGGCAGGGAAAAUAUUUAUUAUCAGUUUUCCCUGUGACUAUGAUUGGGAACAGAAAUACUUUUCCGACGUGUGUAUGUGGCAAUGACAUAUCUGCAUUGCAACAAAGAUUGAUUCGGAGGACA